GGCCUGAUGGUCUAGUAGUAUGAUUCCUUGUUAGGGUGAUUAUCUAACUAUCGAGGAGGUCCUGGGUUCAAUUCCCAGUCAGGCCC